UACGAAGGGGGCUAGCGUUGCUCGGAAUCACUGGGCGUAAAGGGUGCGUAGGCGGGUCUUUAAGUCAGGGGUGAAAUCCUGGAGCUCAACUCCAGAACUGCCUUUGAUACUGAAGAUCUUGAGUCCGGGAGAGGCGAGUGGAACUGCGAGUGUAGAGGUGAAAUUCGUAGAUAUUCGCAAGAACACCAGUGGCGAAGGCGGCUCACUGGCCCGGUACUGACGCUGAGGCACGAAAGCGUGGGGAGCAAACAGG
rnacentral:rRNA from 1 species